rnacentral:rRNA from 1 species
ACUGCUCAGUAACACGUGGACAACCUACCCUGAGGAGGGGGAUAACCCCGGGAAACUGGGGAUAAUACCCCAUAGACUAUGGAUGCUGGAAUGCUCUGUAGUUAAAAGGCCCGCCGCCUCAGGAUGGGUCUGCGGCCGAUUAGGUUGUUGUUGGGGUAACGGCCCAACAAGCCUGUAAUCGGUACGGGUUGUGGGAGCAAGAGCCCGGAGAUGGAUUCUGAGACACGAAUCCAGGCCCUACGGGGCGCAGCAGGCGCGAAAACUUUACAAUGCGAGCAAUCGUGAUAAGGGAACUCCGAGUGCCCGUAAAAUCGGGCUGUCCGCCAGUGUAAAUAACCGGUGAAGAAAGGGCCGGGCAAGACCGGUGCCAGCCGCCGCGGUAAUACCGGCGGCUCGAGUGGUGGCCACUAUUACUGGGCUUAAAGCGUUCGUAGCUGGUCUGUUAAGUCUCUGGGGAAAUCUUCCGGCUUAACCGGAAGGCGUCUCAGGGAUACUGACAGACUAGGGACCGGAAGAGGUGAGAGGUACUCCAGGGGUAGGAGUGAAAUCCUGUAAUCCUUGGGGGACCACCUGUGGCGAAGGCGUCUCACCAGGACGGCUCCGACAGUGAGGAACGAAAGCUGGGGGAGCAAACCGGAUUAGAUACCCGGGUAGUCCCAGCUGUAAACGAUGCGCGUUAGGUGUAUCGGUGACCACGAGUCACCGAGGUGCCGAAGAGAAAUCGUGAAACGUGCCGCCUGGGAAGUACGGUCGCAAGGCUGAAACUUAAAGGAAUUGGCGGGGGAGCAC